AAUCAUAAGAGGCAAAUCUAUCGAAAGGUAGAGACGCAAAGCCACGGGUCUAAGGGUAGUACUUCGUACUAUUACGAUAGCCGGGUUGCAGAA
rnacentral:ncRNA from 1 species